UCCUCUCUAAGCACAUAGCUUCUUCUUCUCUCUGUUUUCUUCAACUCACACUUCCUUCUCCAACAAUUCCUGCUUACACUGUUGGGGCAGAGAUUGAGCAACUUCAGUGGUCGUCUUCUCAGCCGGAAUGGCAUUGGGUUUCCAUUACUUUCUCCAUGAAGCUUCAGAUUCUGAGGAUCAUGGAAGGUGGAAGAUGGAAAGUAUAGUUGGGUGAGUGUUGGCACAAUGAUCUUCCAUUCUCUGGUCAGUUUGAGGAUAUUGUCUCUCAUGCUUUGAUACUUAUUAGAACCUUGUCCAUUUACUAUGCAAUCAUUUGUAAAAAAAAAAUAUGCAAUAUCCAUUAUUACAUAAUUGAACUGAGGCAGAUUAUGCUUUAAUCCCUUCGCAUGCAAAAUAUUACAAAUUUUAAAUAAAGGAGAUUUAUCACCCACUUUACCUACUCCAACCACUUUUUCUUUCUAGUUUCUACCAAAGGUCAUGUAUCAACCUUCUUUAGGUUACAAGCACAUGAACAUAGACUUUCUUCAUGUAUGUGUCAUGACCAUCUAUUGUCCAAAUAUCAUAUCUGGUGUGUCUUUUGUUUUGUUAGUGUGAGAGGUGUGUGAAGACUUUAUCUUAAGAAGGCACUUAGACAUGACAUGUCUAGUUUUUUCCAUAAAUGAUUACAGACAUGUCUAAUAAAAGUAGUUUGUCAACUGUCAUAGUUGGCUUCUUAUGAUGGUAUAGUCAAUCCCUUUAUUGUUUAAAGAAUGCCUUUGGCAUCCUAAAAUCUUAGUCAAAUUUUUAUGUGCAGUUCACUAUGUGGAAGUAGUUGGUGUACCAUCCAAUAGUGUAUUGCGCCAGUGCAUAUAGCACAACAAAUUGUGCCAACAUGCAACCCAAUCCAUGAGGAAGAGUAAGCACAAGUACUAGACUAUACUUGUCAGAUAUAGUUUUCAUGUA